GGACCUUGUAUUUGAAAAAGGCAAAACGAAAAAGAUGCAGAUAUUCGUCUGACGAUUACUCUCGAGGUAGAGAUCAAUGACACCAUUGACAAUGUCGAGUCUAAGAUUCAGUUAAUAAGGCCUCCCUUCGGAACAAAAAUGAUAACUUUUGCCGGGAAGCAGCUUGAAGAUGUCCAUAUUCUUGUCGAUUACAGCAUUCAGAAAGGAAGGUACAACAAUUGAGAGGAGUUUUGACUAAUUUAAUGAGAACAAGGAGAAUUUGGCUACUUGCUGUAAUUUCACCACAAAUAUGCCCAUAGGUACUAAAGACAUUGGAUUGGGAGCUACAUUUUAUAAGGGUUCUAAUUUAUAUCUUUAAUUUAUAAUUGAUGUAUUUCUUAUUCAUUUUAUAACAUUCAAAAACAAUAAUUAUAUUUAAUAGAAAUGUUAUGUUUCUUU